rnacentral:misc_RNA from 1 species
AACGCAACUUGCACUCUCUCCGGAGAGUAUGUCUGUUUGAGAAUCGGCUUACUCUCUCACACGUGUGUGGGGAUCUGGGCGGAGUGCCUCUCCAGCACCCGCCUGAAAUGCAUGUUUUGGUGCGGUCCCCAAGGGCACUCGUGCAGCGGCCACAAAACCCACUGUGUUUGAAUAGGGCUCUGCGUCGGGCGGUUUGCCAGGCCGGACGCUUUUGCUGCGCACUGGGAGGCAGUUGCCCGGGCAGUCCCGGGGCUCGUCAGCCAGAAUCAACAAGUUGCCCCGGCAGGAAUGCCUCGGCACCACCAAACGAUCUCAAAUCAGUCAAGACCACCCGCUGAACUUAA